rnacentral:rRNA from 1 species
UACAGAGGUCUCAAGCGUUGUUCGGAUUCAUUGGGCGUAAAGGGCGCGUAGGCGGUCGUGACAAGUCACUUGUGAAAUCUCCGGGCUUAACUCGGAACGGUCAAGUGAUACUGUCGGACUAGAGUGCAGAAGGGGCAACUGGAAUUCUCGGUGUAGCGGUGAAAUGCGUAGAUAUCGAGAGGAACACCUGCGGCGAAGGCGGGUUGCUGGGCUGACACUGACGCUGAUGCGCGAAAGCCAGGGGAGCGAACGGG